rnacentral:rRNA from 1 species
UUCCAGACUCCUACGGGAGGCAGCAGUGAGGAAUAUUGGUCAAUGGGCGAGAGCCUGAACCAGCCAAGUAGCGUGCAGGAAGACGGCCCUAUGGGUUGUAAACUGCUUUUGUAUGGGGAUAAAGUCAGUCACGUGUGAUUGUUUGCAGGUACCAUACGAAUAAGGACCGGCUAAUUCCGUGCCAGCAGCCGCGGUAAUACGGAAGGUCCGGGCGUUAUCCGGAUUUAUUGGGUUUAAAGGGAGCGUAGGCUGGAGAUUAAGUGUGUUGUGAAAUGUAGACGCUCAACGUCUGACUUGCAGCGCAUACUGGUUUCCUUGAGUACGCACAACGUUGGCGGAAUUCGUCGUGUAGCGGUGAAAUGCUUAGAUAUGACGAAGAACUCCGAUUGCGAAGGCAGCUGACGGGAGCGCAACUGACGCUGAAGCUCGAAGGUGCGGGUAUCGAACAGGAUUAGAUACCCUGGUAGUCCGCACAGUAAACGAUGGAUGCCCGCUGUUGGUACCUGGUAUCAGCGGCUAAGCGAAAGCAUUAAGCAUCCCACCUGGGGAGUACGCCGGCAACGGUGAAACUCAAAGGAAUUGACGGGGGCCCGCACAAG